UCUAUAUUGUUCUAUGGUAGCAAGCAGCAGUUGCUAUGGUGGUUUACCUGAGUUUACCUGUGAUCUGAAGUACGACCAGUUGAAAAACAUGGUAACGAAUCCGCGCGCCAACCUGAGAUUAUACCACGGACCUCCGUUUUGGCGUUUUAUACAUUUGUGUACCAGAGUUACGGAAACGUUUUACAGCAGUGGUACCUAUUUUUUUCUCAUUAUUUCUUCUCAAGAUAUUGUUUUUAACCAAUAAUUACGCGUCGUGGCAGGUUUGUAAGUUUAAUAAGGUUUUUGAUUAUGGUUCGCUCUAAUAACCAAGCGAUUUGUUUAAAUUAUCAACGACAUUCUAUCAUUCAAAACAGCAAUGAAUCGAGAUUGUUCUCGUUUCUUAAAGAAGAAUUACAUUACAUUUAGGUGUAGUCGUGCCAUCGAACAAAACAAACUUGGAUACCAGUGAAUUGAAAAUAUGUAAUUUGGGAAUCUGCUGUGUCUAGAUAUUUCAAUGUAAUUGUAAGAG